rnacentral:lncRNA from 1 species
UAUAUAUAUAUAUAUAUAUAUAUAUAUAUGUAUUGUGUGUGUGUGUGUGUGUGUUUAUCCAACAAUGGGGAUUAUAUAUUUGCUAAGAUACAUGAUAAUCAUGCAGAUAUGCAUGAUGGCAUAGUUGAAGCUCAUCAUAGAAAUCUCAAGCUCAUAAUGAAGCAGCUUAUGCAUUUCUUUGGUAAUAUGAAAGUGUGAGCCUUACAGAUACAUAUCGAAUUACUUUUUGGCAACGGUCAUGUUUUUUAUCAACAGAACUUGUGCUAAUUAAUUUUUGUGAUUUCUGGUUUUUUCUUCUGUUUUUCCUUAUUUUGAUGCGAUAUUAGAUAAUUGUGCACAUCAAAACCUAAUGUAUCCGGGUAGUUUCUUCAUUAGUUUAGGUUUUUCCAUUGUCAAAAUUUCAGAACGUAAUGCAUACCGGUUUAUAUUUCCAGUGUUUUGUCUUAAUGCAGAUCAGAGUACGAUACUAUUGGAACUUCUGCCAAAGCUGCUGCUGUUUAUCUUGGAACAGCAUUAGUGAAGGUUUGUAAUCUAUUGGCUUUUAAUAUCCUUCUAAAUAGACGAAUGGAGG